rnacentral:rRNA from 1 species
AACGAACGCUGGCGGCGCGCCUAAUACAUGCAAGUCGAACGAGAAGGUGUAGCAAUACACUUGUACAGUGGCGAACGGGUGAGGAAUGCAUGGGCAACCUACCCUCGAGUGGGGAAUAACCAGCCGAAAGGUUGGCUAAUACCGCGUACGCUUCCGGGUCUCCGGAUCCGGAAGGAAAGUCACACCGUGGGUGUGACGCUCAAGGAUGGGCUCAUGUCCUAUCAGCUUGUUGGGAGGUACGCUCACCAGGCAACGACGGGUAGCUGGUCUGAGAGGACGAUCAGCCACACUGGCACUGCGACAC